rnacentral:sRNA from 1 species
AAAGAUAACUUUGCUGCCCCUAGAGAGAUGAGAGAUCCCACUCCUAACAGAUCACUCUCUAAAGAUACUUCUAUCAAUCAGAGUCUUCAGGCUUAUACCUAGAAAGAUAGAAGGGUGGGUCGAAGCUCUUCUAGAGAACACUUCCCCAAAGAAAAUGGACGCUAUGAUGCUAGAAGAAACAUAAAUUAUUACCACCAUGAAGGAAGAACCUCAGCAAGUAGAGAGCUAAGGCAUAUGAGAGUUACCUCAGGGACUCAGGAGUUUUCUCGAGAGGGUCCAAGAAGAGGGUCGUCCAAUAGAUCAUUCAACUAUGACAACCCAAAUUACCAGUGGAGGGCACGAGAUUCAUCCAGAAACAGCCCUAGACAUGACAGUUAAAAAUCUUGGAGAACACGCAUGCCACCUUUGGAGAGACCUCUUGUUUAGUUUUGAUAAGUGUGCAUUUUACAUGUUUUGAGCAUCCAUUUGUUAUCACUAUUGCAUCAUAUCAUCACUGUUUUAUACCAUUUCUCAUCAUUUGUCAUCACUUUACAUGUUUAGGAUAUGUUUGCAUAUUUGUGUUGUUUUUAGGUGAUUUGGAGCUGUUAACGAGCUAAUUGGAAGAAGCGGACCUGAUCAUGUCAAACCACUCAACCCCCUGGUCAAGUAGAUGCUUCACGACCUCAACAGACCACUUGACCCCCUGGUCGAGUACCACCAUGAGAGUCACUCGAUCACAUCACUCGACCACCUGGUCGAGUAUCAUCACCUCCACCACCUGACCAUCACUCGAUCACACCACUUGACCACAAGGUCGAGUAUCUUCAUCACCGUCACUCGAUCACUCUACCACCAAGUCGAGUACCACCAUCUCCAUCAUUCGACUUCAUACUCGGUUGCCAGCUUCAGAGUCUUCUCCAUUCCGCACUCAACCAGACACUUGAGCACAAGGAAGAAAAGAAGACUCCAGCUUAUCACUCGAUCAUUCACUCGACCAUCUGGGUCGAGUACCGUUUUUAAUCCGUCCCAAUAUUGCGUCGUUUUGAGUAUUAGGGUUUCGGAAAAUUUCGCUAUAAGUAGCAUGUACUUUACAUUUUCGAUGAAAGAGUUUUAUUCUGUAGACACUGUGUUCUUGACAUUUUUGUAAUCCGUAUUUCUCUUAAUCUAUUCAGUAUUCAGUUUUUGCUUUUGAUUUCGUUUACUGUUGUUCAUCCUGUUAUCAUCAUGCUAUAACUCUGUUGAUAUCAUGUUUUCAUCCUAUUCAACGUUUAUGCUUUCUACUAUGAUGUCUGAGUAGUGACUAGAUUUCUGAGGAUGGGUUAGAGUAGUUUAGAAUUCUCAGAAUGCUAGGUGGUUGAGUUUGAUUUAUAGAUCCCUUCUGGAUUAGUUGUUCUUAAUGCCUAUUGCUUUCUGAUCAACUGGAAUUUGAGCCCAGACAUUUCUACGCCCAAAAGGUGUUCGAUAAAAUGUCUAAACCACUAAUUCCAGAGAUUCGUGGCUCUAUACCAAGGCAUUGGUUGCAGGGAGCGUUUUGGCUUUAACUUGUUGAUUCGUAAUGCCUAUAAGGUUAGCUCUCGUCAAUGGUGAUUAAGUCUGGGACUGGUUUAACUUGAGGGUCUCUAUUGCGGUGGUACUUAGAUUUGGUUACUGAACUUGUUGUCUAGGGAUAAUUUGUUGAGCAUAUCAAUCACCUGUAAACUGAGGAAACAAAACUACUCAAUUACCCCAUCCUCGAGAGUUCUUUAUCUGAUUGAUUUCUUUGUUUACUCUGCUGUUUUUUACUGCAUCUUGUUACUUGUUGCUUAGUUUUUGCAUUUCUGUCCUGUUACUCGACCUGAUACUCGACCACCUAGUUUUCUGGCAACAGACUGUGCAGUCGAGUAGCCCUGUUGGCAACAAGCUGUGUUGGUCGAGUGUUUUACUGUUUCUGCUUGAAUUUCAGUUUCCUGCAUGUUCACUUAGGACGGCUAGAAACUCCAAAACCUGUUAUUGCUUGGUUUGACUCUGUGAACUCUGAUUGCAUCUUGAUUGUUAGCAUCACACCCAUUUGGAUUGACAACCUAAAAUACUACAACGACAUGAUAGUGCUUUAAGUU